rnacentral:lncRNA from 1 species
GGUCAGACAUAUGGAUGUGCUAUCAUGAACUUGAUCAGUCGAAUAUCAUAUCUACUGAUUUAGAAGAGAUCUAAAUCUAAAUCCUUUCACUAAAUAUUAAGUCUAGAGGUCUUCCAUCAUUGUAGAGAUGUGGAUGCCUUUCUGAUGUUGAUCGUUCUCAACUGAUUAUAGUGGUUCGGUUGUAUCAAAAAAAUAUAAUAACUCU